AGUAACGGCGAGUGAAGCGGCAACAGCUCAAAUUUGAAAGCUGGCUUAGGCCCGCAUUGUAAUUUGCAGAGGAUGCUUCUGGCGAGGUGCCUUCCGAGUUCCCUGGAACGGGACGCCAUAGAGGGUGAGAGCCCCGUAUGGAUGGACACCAGACCUGUGUGAAGCUCCUUCAACGAGUCGAGUAGUUUGGGAAUGCUGCUCUAAAUGGGAGGUAAAUCUCUUCUAAAGCUAAAUACCGGCCAGAGACCGAUAGCGCACAAGUAGAGUGAUCGAAAGAUGAAAAGCACCUUGAAAAGGGGGUUAAACAGUACGUGAAAUUGUUGAAAGGGAAGCGCUUGUGACCAGACUUGCGCCGGGCAGCUCAUCAGGGGUUCUCCCCUGUGCACUCUGCCCGGCUCAGGCCAGCAUCGGUUCUCGUGGGAGGAUAAGAACGGUAGGAACGUGGCCCCCCUCCGGGGGGGUGUUAUAGCCUGCCGUACGAUACUCCCGUGGGGACCGAGGUUCGCGCUCCGCAAGGAUGCUGGCGUAAUGGUCAUCAGCGACCCGUCUUGAAACACGGACCAAGGAGUCGUCCAUUAGAGCGAGCGUUUGGGUGUAAAACCCGCACGCGUAAUGAAAGUGAACGCAGGUGAGAGCUUCGGCGCAUCAUCGACCGAUCCUGAUGUCUUCGGAUGGAUUUGAGUAAGAGUUUUAACGGACGGACCCGAAAGACAGUGAACUAUGCUUGUAUAGGGUGAAGCCAGAGGAAACUCUGGUGGAGGCUCGCAGCGGUUCUGACGUGCAAAUCGAUCGUCAAAUAUGAG
rnacentral:rRNA from 1 species